GAAGUGCAGCUGAAGGGAUGGUUAAUGAAGACACCCUCAAACCAUUGGAUUUGCAGCACUGAAGUUAUGGAGAGUGUCAUGAAAUGAAGCUGAUCAUCUCCUGGGGCCAACUUUUGCUACAUGUGAGGGCAUUGUCACAGAUGUACUGGACUAAAUCUAUGUCAUAUGUAAGUCACCGAACAAAGUGGACUUACACUAGAGGAAAAACUUGUUCAGGUGUCUAGCCCAAGACAGAUGCUUGAACCUAAAGAAGAUCUUUCCAAUAUGACAGGGUUUAUGUUUAUCUGCAUAAAAUAAUCACCCAUGCCAAUGGAAAAUGAAUAUAGUGGUGCGAUAGCAGCAAAUUGGGAUCUACAUUAACUUCCAGAUCCUUGAAAUUCCACAUAUUCUGCAGGAAAGUGGUGUUUCCUAUGGGAACUAAUUGAUUUAAUGGAUAUAUCAUGCAGCUGAGGAGGAACUUGUAGGCUCCAGGACGACAUAGCUUUGUUGCAAUUUUUGAAGAAUUUGUGACCUUGCCUAGCUUUGAUGCAAAGCAGUGAAACUCAGCUGUUGGGUGUUUAUCAUAUUUGUAGUCAUUGUUAGUUUCAUAUAAACUCAGAACUCAAACCAAAAUUAAAAAGGAGCGAGAAUAAAAGCGAAGAAAAAAGGUACUUGAUACCCUGUGAAGUGAGGUUGAAAAGUUGUGCACAGGUCUCCUAACUGACAAAUAUCCUGUUUUCAUGCUAAUAUCUGUAGUAAUGAAGACUGUGGGAACAGACAUUCAUAGAAUAUUGGUACAUUAGCAGUAUUGUCUAGAUUUCGGGUUAUCUCUGGGAUGUUGGCAGGUCUUU